AUGGCGGACAGAGACAGUGGCAGCGAGCAGGGCGGCGGCGGCGGCGGGGGCGCGCCGGGCUCCGGGGGGCCGGGCUCGGGCGGCGGCGGCGGCCCGGGGGGCGGCCUGCAGCACGAGACGCAGGAGCUGGCCUCCAAGCGGGUGGACAUCCAGAACAAGCGCUUCUACCUGGACGUCAAGCAGAACGCCAAGGGCCGCUUCCUCAAGAUCGCCGAGGUGGGCGCCGGCGGCAACAAGAGCCGCCUCACGCUCUCCAUGUCGGUGGCCGUGGAGUUCCGCGACUACCUGGGCGACUUCAUCGAGCACUACGCGCAGCUGGGGCCCAGCCAGCCGCCCGAGCUGGCGCAGGCGGCCGACGAGCCGCGCCGGGCGCUCAAGAGCGAGUUCCUGGUGCGGGAGAACCGCAAGUACUACAUGGAUCUGAAGGAGAACCAGCGCGGGCGCUUCCUCCGCAUCCGCCAGACCGUGAACCGCGGCCCGGGGCUGGGCUCCACGCAGGGCCAGACCAUCGCGCUGCCGGCGCAGGGGCUCAUCGAGUUCCGCGACGCCCUGGCCAAGCUCAUCGACGACUACGGCGUGGAGGAGGAGCCGGCCGAGCUGCCCGAGGGCACCUCCUUGACUGUGGACAACAAGCGUUUCUUCUUCGACGUGGGCUCCAACAAGUACGGCGUGUUCAUGCGGGUGAGCGAGGUGAAGCCCACCUACCGCAACUCCAUCACCGUCCCCUACAAGGUGUGGGCCAAGUUCGGCCACACCUUCUGCAAGUACUCGGACGAGAUGAAGAAGAUCCAGGAGAAGCAGCGGGACAAGCGCGCCGCCGCCGCCGCCUCCUCCGCGGGCGCAGGGGCCGAGCAGCAGCCCGAGGCGGAGAGCAGCGCCGCCGCCGCCGCCGCCGCCGGGCCGCCCGGGGCCCUGCUGCAGGCCGAGGAGCCCGAGGAGGAUUGAUCCCGACUCGGCCUGCCCUCGCUGCCUCCCUGCCUGCUGCACAGAGACACACCCCCCCCCUUCCCCCCCCCCAGAGACUGAGCCUGUCCCGGGCAGAACAGAGAGACCGCGGCACGCAACCCGAGAGAGAAACGAUGCCAGGCGUCAAAAGAGGGAAAACAAACAGCAAACGACAAAAAAACCGAGAAAUAAAAAAAACCGUGCACCUGUUCAGAGCUCCAAGGGAGCACCACCCACCCGACAGCCUCCACAAACUGACAGCCGAGCAACUCCUCCGACCUGCCACCCAUCGCUGGAUGUUCCUCCACUUUACCCACCGUAUCAAAACAACUUUUACCAGUAAAUAUCGGUUUAUUCCUGAAACCAGAAGCCCUAAACAUACCUUUGUUUAUAAGUUUUCCUGCUCUGCAUCUCCGGAAAAGGAGCCCUCAGGACCUAGACCCUUCUGUUGGUAAUGUAGACCUGAGUUUACAAAUUGUUGUUUUAACAUUUUAAAGCCUGCUUUAAAGGAUACAGGUGUUUCCCGUCAGUCUGGUGCGGGAACUGAUAGAAAUGCCUGCAAAUGCAUACAUUGGUGCACCUUUCCAAAGCCUGCGGGUAGGUCUCUCACCAGUAUCUUCAAGCCUGGGUUUAGGAAAUAUUUCUCCAAAAGUAGACACCAGGAAAUGACAUUUCUGUUUUACAGGGCUGGGGGAGGGCAGGGUGGGAUCAAAAUUUGGAAAUGAUUCUUUAUUCCCCCCCUCCUUUUUUUUUCUAUAAUAUCCUACGCGAAAGCAAGUGUUCUCUUUUGUAAACAAAGCAUGAAGCGGGGAGAAGGGAGAGAAUUUGAACGUUACCCCUUCCUAAGCUUGUUGCAAACUCUUUUUCUCCGCAGCGGAGAGAAAAUUCAGGUAAAAGGUUUGAAACUUAAAAGGACAUUGUUAGGUAGGAGAGACUCCAAAAGCGGGCUGGCGUUUCUUACUGAUUGGAACUGAUUCCCAUAAUUUUCAGAAUUUUGAUUUAUACCAAGACAAAUCAACUUGGGAGCGCUGAAGCUUCCUUUCCUGCAAGCGGUUGCAACCCAAACACAACAGCAUUAUGCUAAUACUCGAGAAGCAGAGGAGCUGGCGGGAAUAGAAAAUGAGUUGACUGUGCAGCCCCAGCCAGAUUUUUCUCUUCUGAACAAACGAAAUUUAAAAAAAGAGAGAAAAAAGAGAGAAAAAAGACCACAUGACCCCCCCCCCACAAAAAGCGAACAAAAUCAAAAUGUGAUUUCAGCUGUUUUAUCAUAUAAUCGUUACGUCCGGCACAAGUGUUUUCAGUACAACCGCAGCCUAACUAUGUCCCUUUAAGGAGCACAAUUUACUAAUUGCCUCGUAAUGAAACGAAAGCUAAAGUUAUCUUCCCUUUGGUGCAAAUCAAAGCUCCUGCAAGCCUUAGUUGGAGUCCCUAAUGACAGGCAUCUUCUAGCUGUACACUUUGAGCUGAAAACUACCUUUCCUCCCCUUUUACAGCCUGUGUGGUUCUGAUUGCUGGCAGUUCUAUAACACAGCUUUAAUCUGAGCAAUUGAGCCUGGUCCUACCCUAUCUGCAGACGUCUUGCGGAGGACUCCUGUUACCAGUUUGGUACUCAAAAGCUACACCCCACCAUGAGAAGUCACUUAUUUUUUACAAGGCAGUGAUAGCUUACCCUCUCUAGCUCUAAUGGGAAAAUGGUAUUGCAAUGCAACUUUCUUAAUAAAUUGUUCAUCUAGUCGUAAUUCUGUUGCGAGCCCAAAUUGGAGAACAGAUCUGUUAAAGGUAUAUAUUAGUCUAAAUUUUUUUCUUAUUGUAAAUACUGUAAUUUUAUAAUACUGUCAAUAUUUUAUUAACUUAGAAAUAUUUAACAGAGUUUAAUCUAUGUUAGUUCAGAUUUAUUUAUAGGUUUAUGUUGCAGCCAAUAUUGCAUUACAUUCUAAUGUAAGAUUAACUUUCAGUGUGUAAACAUUGGUUUAAUACAUCAUUGGGAAAACUAAGAACUGAGAGAAAAUUCUCACUCUUAAGCUGUAAUAUUUGUCCCCCAAUUCCCAGUUCAGAAUCAUUAAAUGAGCAAUUAUGAGAUUUCAAAAGUUCAUGAAAUUAGCAACUGCACUUGGACCAUGUCAUUUGAAAGCUUGAAUUUCUAAAUGUAUCUGGCUUUUUCACCCUGUUUGUAGUAAAUGAGAUUGCUUCAUUAUCGAAUCUGUGUAGUAUGGAAGUCUUUCUUUUGAGCAAAGGGACACUGUCAGAUCAAUUUUAGAUUCUUGUUUUUAAAAAAAAAGAAAAGGGAAAAAGCAAAACUCACCCUCAGUACAUGUGUGUUAAUUCCUUUUUAACUACGAAGUGGAAAUUAUUAUUAUUAUUAUUAUUAUUAUAGCUUGUUUAUUUGGCUGGAAGCAUUCCUGACACGGUUCACAUCUCAGAGCUGUGCAGCUCUGGGUGCAGGGUGAAAGGCAACCAGCCACAAGGACUUGCCUGACCACAGGACAUGGAGUUUCUCCCAGUCCCGAGUGAAAGGCCUGUGCAAAUGCUGCCUCUGCCUCAGAGGGAAAGGGGAUCAGGUCCCUGGCUCUGAUCUGAAUCAGAACCCAGCAAGAUGAGUAUAAGUGUCCAAGGAGUCUAAAACUCACCUUUUCUUGAUCAAAAUUUCUCUUCAAAAUUUUGCUUUUUUAAAUAUAUAUAUAUAUAUAUAUAUAUAUAUAUAUAUUCUUAGCCUGAUAGUGUCCCUUUAAAAGUAUAUAGAUGUUCACUUUCUCUGCAAAAUGACUGGAAGUGAUUUUCUUUUUAAGAUAAAGGAAAAUUCAUCUGUAAUAUGUUUGGAACAUAACUUGCCUAAAAAUACCAAAAAUAUCUCAAGGGAUUUCAUGGGAGUUGGUAUUUUUUUGCGUGUAAAAGUUAAUCUUUAUUAGAGAUGUGCCAAUCUAUACUGCUUUAUUGUAGUGCUGUUAUAUUUAGGCAUUUCAGUUAACUUACAAAUAUAUACUGUAACAGUAUACUUUGUACAGAUUUAUUUAAAAUUUAUUUGAAAACUGAAAUAAAGUAGGCAGAAAAUAAAGAUAUUUAUUUUUCAUUUGACUAUGUAAGAAGCUAUUGUUCUUUUGGUUUUAGUGUACAGGUGUACCCAGAACCACUGCAUUCUUUAGUUUGUAGGAUGCUCUUCAGAAAUUGUGGAUAUGUAUAUUUGUAUUGUUAUGUUGAUAAGUAAAUGAAAACGAUGGAGCUCAUUGCUUUUAUACAUCCCAAAGAGAAGUUCUUCAUGCUUUGUUUUCUGACUGAAAAGGCAUGUAUUUUUGAACAGUGUUCAUUCAAGUUCUGCCAUCCCACUUUCACAUCAACCUUUACCAAUUCCAGGAUGGGAGAAUUUACCUGUGUACCUUCCCCAGUGCACCAAAGUCAGCAGUGACAUCGUAAGGGAGUGGUUCAAAUGUGUUUCCUUGGGGCUGUGUGUAAAACAAAUGCAAAACGAGAAAAAUCAAGAUGUUAAAGUCAAUAGAAAACAAAUUCCUUAUUGUACAGUAGUAAUGAGAUCUCUAGUAAACCUGCCAUUAACAAUAGAUUCUUAUUUUUUGAAUGAUCUAUUUAAAAGAACAGCAAGCCUUGUAUUUACUAGUAAAUCUAAAGUGUUUACAUGGAAUUACUAAAUAAAUUAUUUGAUCUAAGACGGCUCUCAUCAGUGCUGAUUUUUAAUGUAGAAAAUUAAUUUGGGCUAAUGUUUGAUUAGUUUGUGCUGUUCUUUAAAGAGCAAAUUUUUGAAAACUUCCUUUCAUUUCGAGUUAAGUUCUGAGGAAGACACAAAACAUAUGUUUCCCCACGGAUUCGGACAAGAGUACUACCGAAUGUUUCCCAAUGUGAUCCGCACGUCUUGAUGCUGCACUUCCGUGUGCAAAAACGAAUGAUUUUAUUGCUGGAAUACAACAG